UGAGGUCUCAUGACUGUUUAUGUGGUGGCUCGCUGCUCAGGACAUGGAAUCAUUGGAGAUACUCAUUACUCUUUGAAGGCUUACAGUGGAAUGAAUUCAAAUACAACUUAUUUGAGGAAUUGAAGUUGACUUUAUGGAGCUGAUAAGAAUCUUCUUGGAAAAAAAAAGACUGGGUAUAUUUUCAAUAUGCUUUCCUUUUAAGGUCCCUCACCUGUGGAAAGUAAAGAAUGUCACUUUCUGACAGGCUCAGGAACCUCAAGUUAUGUAGGGAUCUCAAGAAGAUGGGGGAAUUCACCCAGUUCAUACAGGUGAAAUUGCUGUUGCGAAGAUUAUGAAUAUGAGAGAAGUCCAGCAUGGCUGACUUCAUCUCGUGUCUGGCCUCAGGCUGGCUGCCCUUGCUCACUCUUGGGCAUAGGCCAAGCUAGCCAUGGGAGGAAUUUAGUUUAUAGUUUAACUUUGAAGCACGGAUGACAAUAGUCUCUCCCUAAAAUGAACCCCUUCCUUGCUCAGGGACUGAAACUACCUUUGUAUGACAAAUGAAAGCCCACAAGAUUAAGAUUAUGAGAGGGGCCUGAAUUCUGCUAAAAUGCAGGUGUAGCUGACUGAUAACAAGUCAUUGUCCCACAGCUUGCCUUUCUAUAAUCUCUUGCUUCUCAGGAGUCACAUGGCCAGAGGUCCUGAGAUUUCCAGUCCUGUGACCCCCACCCAGAGAUGGACUUAAUGCAUGAGGACCAUUUUCCACACCCCUAUGAUUU
rnacentral:lncRNA from 1 species